GUCACCGCUUAGGCUGGGACAGUUACUGCCUCAGAGCUUCUACUUUCCUCUACAUCAGGCCUAUCUUCCACCAGGAAAACUUUGAGAUGCAACAAAAGAGGCUUCCAUUCCACUGGGUUGAUCUCUGCCCCUCUCCUAAAAGACCUUUGGUGAAUAUGUUGAACCUGACAGAAUUCACACCAAACCAGGAAGAAUGCUGUCUGAAAUACUUUGAUGAGGAAGAAGUAUCCAGUAAAGAAGACCAUUAAAAGUAGAAGACAUGAAAUAACAGAAAAGAAGGAAGAAAGCAAAAAGGAAAUAUCUAAAAUCAAGAGAAAAGAUCUGAUAAUUGUGCAACAAUAAUGCUGCUGAGGAAGAAAAGGGGGGUUGGUUAGUCAUUAGCAGCAGAGGCUGAACCAAAGCAAACUUUGUAGAUACCAAUAUUUCAGGCACAGCCCAGCUUCUCCUCCAUGCCACUCCUCUUUCCUAAUGCAAUCUUGUCUAAUAUCAUUCCAGAUAAAGAGUAGCUUCAGAGUCAAGCAUGAGAACAUGAUGAAAACUCAAACAAUGGUAAAUACAGACUCAUGUAAUCUGUCAAUAUGACAACUUCAGCAAUAUCUUGCACACUCACAGGCAUCAUAUAUUUUGUCUUCUGUUGGUAAUAACUUAAGGUGUUUUUUCAUGGUGGAGUUUUUUUUAUUUGUUUUUAUUUUGAUUUUUGUUUUUCUGAGUCAGCAAAUUUUCCUGAAUAAUUUCAAAGUUGGCAUCAUUUUCUUGUGGUCUUGUAUGCCUAUGAUUGUCCAUAAUGAGGGGAGAAUCCCAACCUGUUUUCAAACUCAGAGCUACAAUAGGAUGUUACUAGAAGUCCCAUUUCACAUUUAUUUAGAACCAUCAGAUCUAAAGAACUAACUGACAGUGCUUUUCCAAACUGAAACAGAUGCUUUCUCACUGUCAUUGUCAUUCAGCAAAAGCAUACAAACAAUUCUAGUAAGUCAAAUCAAAAGACUCAGUUUCCAGAAAUGGAGGACUAAAGAAUAUAUAAUAACAGAACAAACGCAUAGUGAUCUUCCCCUUGAAUACUUUCCCAGGCUCCACAGCUUGACAAUUUUCCAUACAUAAAUAAGCAUAUGAGGAAGAACACUUAAAAGGAAAUAGAUAAUACUAUUUAUUAUUAAGCCAUGCUAUAUAUAUGCAGUCAAAUAAAAAUAAUAUUGUCAUUGUUAUACUGUAUAUUCACAAUGCAAUAUCCAGUCAGUAGUAAACUCUGUCC